CCUACGGGAGCCACCAGUGGGGAAUAUUCGCCAAUGGGGGCAACCCUGAUCCAGCAAUGCCGCGUGUGUGAAGAAGCCCUGCGGGUUGUAAACCACUUUCAGUAGAGAAGAAAAGCCGCAU
rnacentral:rRNA from 1 species